GGGAGCGUAGCUCGGCCGGUUAGAGCGCUUGCCUUACAAGCAAGAGGUCACAGGUUCGAGUCCUGUCGUUCCCACCA
rnacentral:tRNA from 1 species